CAGUGAUCAAUCUAAAUUACCUUAUACCGAUACUGAUAGUUUAAUUUAUUAUAUUAAAGUUCCAAACAUAUAUGAUUAUAUUAAACGCGAUUCACAUUUUUUCGAUACUUCCGAUUAUCCAGAAAAUAAUUGUUAUGGUAUAGAAUUAAAAAAUAGAAAAGUUCGAGGUUUAAUGAAAGAUGAAUGCAAUGGCAAGAUUGUCAUGGAGUUUAUUGGAUUAAGAUCGAAAUUGUAUUCAUAUAAAAUAUUAAAAGAAAUUCGCGAGAAGAAAAAAGAUAAAGGUGUUAGAUCUUCAACAUUAAAGGAAAUUACAUUUGAGAACUAUAAAAAAACACUUUUUUCAUACGAAAACGUAGUAGAAAAUCAAUAUUUAAUUCGAAGUGUAAAACAUCAAGAUUACACUGUACAACAAAGAAAAGAGGCUCUAAGUUGGUAUGACGAUAAAAGAGUUCUUUUACCAAAAAGUAAAGUCACUCAAUUGUAAACUAUGGGACAACAUAUGAAAAGAGGCCAGUGCCAUAGGAGCUUUAAUAAAAAAGUAACCACCAAAAAUAGAAGAACCUCUUAAGUGACUUGUUGAAUGCACAGUGCAGUGGUUUUUUUCUUUUUAGUGAAAAAAAAAUGAGGACAAUUACACGGGCUUCCGUUUAUUUUUUCAUGUACCAAACGAAUGGGUGAUCAAUUGUUUUGAUCUUCAGAAAUUUCAGAUUUUCUUACAUUGGCGGCAGGAGUAAGGCGAUACGGACUAUUCAGUCCACGUUUAUCAAUGGACGACGAUGAGUAUUUCCUGGAACACAUGAAUAUCGUAGUAGAAGUAGUUGAAAUUCAGGAUUUCGUGUUCCUGUUAAAAAACGUCCUAAUAUUGAGCAUUUAUCGGGAGAUGAAUUUGAUUUUGACAUUAUAGAAGGUCCGGUUUCAAAUCCAGCAGAAAUUGAAGAAUUUACUAUGAGUCAAAUGGACAUUGAUUUUCAUCCAACUCAAGGUGUUAAAAUUGAAGAGAUUGUUGUAAUAGAUAAGGAAAAUAAGGAGGAGGAAGAGAAGGAGAGGCAGAGGGAGGUAAAUGAAGCCACUAGUCUCCUGGAAUUACUUAUUAAACAGGAACCACAGGAAUCAUUAAUUGAAUGAUGUGAACAGGAUGUUGAUGGACAUUAAUCCACAAACAGGACACAAGAGAGGCAGAAAAAAUAAAUAAAAAAAAACGGAAGAGGAUUCAAAAGUGAUCAGGUUAAUUGCAAAUAUUGUCAGUUUUAAUUCAUAAAAGUGAUUUUCUUGAAACUGAAAUAUUAUAAAAGAUAUACCUCUGCCUUUCUUUAAGAAAUAUACUUAAGUAUUUUAAUAUUAAUAGAACUCGAAUAGAAUUAUUUUUAUGUCGUUUUGUAAAUAAAUUUAACUUUUUAUGUAAACUUUUAUUUAUUUAUAGCCUUUAUUUAUCAAAUAAGGAUAAAAUUUCCGAUUAGUUUGAAAAAAUUAUUACUUAAUGAUAGGAAAAAUGUUCGCAAAAAUAGUCGGUAUAAUUUCCAAUUUCUUCGAAAAAGAUGAUAAGUAAAUAUGAGGAAAAAUAUCCGAAUCGUAGGGAGUAUAAUUUCUAAUUUAUUCGGAAAAAAUCCGACUCACAGGAGGAAAAAUUUUCGAUAGAUUUGAAAAGAAUGCCUAUUAAAUAUCUGGAAAAAUAUCCGAUAAAGCCGGAAAAAAAUCCAAACCACAGGAGUAUAAAUUUCCGAUAACUUUGGAAAAAAUACCGAAUACAUAUGGCGAAAAAUAUCCGAUUAAUUCGUAAAAAAAUCCGACUUAUUAGUAGGUAAAAUUUCCGAAAAAUGUCGGAGAUAAUUCUUACUAUUUAUUCAGAAAUACAACCACCCCUUGGGGCUCCGUGCUGUCCGUAUUUUUUCAGAAAAAUUUCGGAAAAAUUUUUUACAGUGUACAAGCAUUACUGAAAUUUAUUAAAUAUGAGACAUUUUAUUUGUAAACAUAAAAAUAAAAAAUUAAUGCCUUAUAGAUUUUAAAAUGCAUUUGUUUUUAUAAAAAAUAUAUCAUUCUUUUAUG